rnacentral:rRNA from 1 species
AUCAAUAAGCGGAGGAAAAGAAACCAACAGGGAUUGCCCCAGUAACGGCGAGUGAAGCGGCAACAGCUCAGAUUUGAAAUCUGGCCCCCCGCGGGGCCCGAGUUGUGAUCUGCAGAGGAUGCCCUGGGCGCGGCGCCUUCCGAGUUCCCUGGAACGGGACGCCACAGAGGGUGAGAGCCCCGUCUGGUCGGACGCCAGGCCCGUGUAGGGCUCCUUCGACGAGUCGAGUAGUUUGGGAAUGCUGCUCAAAGUGGGAGGUAUAUGUCUUCUAAAGCUAAAUACCGGCCAGAGACCGAUAGCGCACAAGUAGAGUGAUCGAAAGAUGAAAAGCACUUUGGAAAGAGGGUUAAAGAGCACGUGAAAUUGCUGAAAGGGAAGCGCCCGUGACCAGACUUGCGCCUGGCAGCUCACCCUGGCUCUCGGGCCGGGGGCACUCUGCCAGGCACAGGCCAGCAUCGGCUCGGCGCGGGGGAGAAAGGCGGCGGGAACGUGGCUCCUCCGGGAGUGCUUAUAGCCCGCCGCGCCAUGCCCCGUGCUGGGCCGAGGCACGCGCACCGCAAGGAUGCUGGCGUAAUGGUCACCGGCGACCCGUCUUGAAACACGGACCAAGGAGUCAUCCUCGUAUGCGAGUGUUGGGGUGCCAAACCCCCACGCGCAGUGAAGGCGAACGCAGGUGAGAGCCGGGCAGCCCUCGGCGCAUCAUCGACCGAUCCUGAAGUUCUCGGAUGGAUUUGAGUAGGAGCAUACGGGGAUGGACCCGAAAGAAGGUGAACUAUGCCUGCGUAGGGUGAAGCCAGAGGAAACUCUGGUGGAGGCUCGCAGCGGUUCUGACGUGCGAAUCGAUCGUCAAACGUGGGCAUGGGGGCGAAAGACUAAUCGAACUUUCUAGUA